GGUGAACGCUGGCGGCGUGCCUAAUACAUGCAAGUCGAGCGAACAGAUAAGGAGCUUGCUCCUUUGAAGUUAGCGGCGGACGGGUGAGUAACACGUGGGUAACCUACCUAUAAGACUGGGAUAACUUCGGGAAACCGGAGCUAAUACCGGAUAACAUUUAGAACCGCAUGGUUCUAAAGUGAAAGAUGGUUUUGCUAUCACUUAUAGAUGGACCCGCGCCGUAUUAGCUAGUUGGUAAGGUAACGGCUUACCAAGGCGACGAUACGUAGCCGACCUGAGAGGGUGAUCGGCCACACUGGAACUGAGACACGGUCCAGACUCCUACGGGAGGCAGCAGUAGGGAAUCUUCCGCAAUGGGCGAAAGCCUGACGGAGCAACGCCGCGUGAGUGAUGAAGGGUUUCGGCUCGUAAAACUCUGUUAUUAGGGAAGAACAAAUGUGUAAGUAACUGUGCACAUCUUGACGGUACCUAAUCAGAAAGCCACGGCUAACUACGUG
rnacentral:rRNA from 1 species